rnacentral:rRNA from 1 species
CCUACGGGAGGCAGCAGUGGGGAAUAUUGCACAAUGGGCGAAAGCCUGAUGCAGCGACGCCGCGUGAGGGAUGACGGCCUUCGGGUUGUAAACCUCUUUCAGCAGGGAAGAAGCGAAAGUGACGGUACCUGCAGAAGAAGCGCCGGCUAACUACGUGCCAGCAGCCGCGGUAAUACGUAGGGCGCAAGCGUUGUCCGGAAUUAUUGGGCGUAAAGAGCUCGUAGGCGGCUUGUCACGUCGGAUGUGAAAGCCCGGGGCUUAACCCCGGGUCUGCAUUCGAUACGGGCUAGCUAGAGUGUGGUAGGGGAGAUCGGAAUUCCUGGUGUAGCGGUGAAAUGCGCAGAUAUCAGGAGGAACACCGGUGGCGAAGGCGGAUCUCUGGGCCAUUACUGACGCUGAGGAACGAAAGCGUGGGGAGCGAACAGGAUUAGAUACCCUGGUAGUCCACGCCGUAAACGUUGGGAACUAGGUGUUGGCGACAUUCCACGUCGUCGGUGCCGCAGCUAACGCAUUAAGUUCCCCGCCUGGGGAGUACGGCCGCAAGGCUAAAACUCAAAGGAAUUGACGG